CGACUUCCUUCCGAAUGCAACUACUCGGAGAAUUCAAUAUAUUGCAUCACUAUUUAAGUUCAACCGACUAUUAAAUGAUGGGUAGUCAAUUCCUGUCAAUAUCAAUAUUUUGAUUUUCACUGUAAAAGUCAGAAGAUCGACUAUCUUGACUCUGAAUAUUCUUCGACUUUCACUGUAAAAGCCAGAUAGACUAUCUCGACUCCGAAUAUACUUCGACUUUUACUAUAAAAGCCAGA
rnacentral:lncRNA from 1 species